CGCCUUUAGAAAAGAUAAUGGCUUUAGAAGCCAUCAGGCCCAAUUUGUUAUCUCUAAUGGGCCAAUAAAAUAUUCAUCAGAAACAAACAACAAUGUACUCCGUAACCGGAAAAGCCAAAUCGAAUCCAACUGUUUUACCAGAACAAAAACACCGGUUGGCGUCCGACUCGUCGUCGUUGUUGUCUUGCUUAUGCAUCGUGAUUGAAAUUUCUUCAUCAUGUGAUUUAGUUCCUUCUGUGAAAGCUCAGGUUUUGCUUGUUUGAAUCUGAAAGCUCUUCUAGUUUAUUUUUUCUCCCAUUGAUAGAUGCUUAGUUGUGGAUUCUUCUUUUUAGAUGGGAUUUUAUAGAGAUGAUUAAAUUUUGUUAUGGUGAUUGAUAAUUGAUGAGUAUCGGUCCUAGAAUCUGCCCAUCUUCACUCCAUGCUUGCAUUUUUGUGUGGAUGAACAGCCAAAACAGAAACUUUGGACUCAAAUUGUUAUCUUAUUACUGUUUCAAUAAGGUCCUAGAAAUAGAGACAUAACCUUUUGUGUGUGAAUUGUUGUUUCAACUUUGGGAUCUAGGUCAUGAGUAUGUGCAGACUCAAAUGUAUGUUUUUCUUGGUAUCCAGAACAAUGUGUAGUUUUCAUCAAUCUGAACUUUCUUAACUUGUUUGAAAAUGGGCAGAUAAGUCGUUGUUUCUCGUUCUCAGUACUAUUUUCAAGUGAAUGAUCAAAUAUGUGUGAAACAAAUUGAAGGUUUUUCUCUUUAUAUUCCUAGAUAGGGUAUGUAUGUUAGUCGUUUUGUGCUCUUUGCCAAGUGGGCAUUUCUUUCUAUAAAAUUCACUGUCUCUAGAUUAGCAUUUGUGUUGUUGACAAGUAUGCAGUGUCCUUGUUCUACCCUGAAUCAUUUAGGUUUGCUUCAGAAGAUUUAAAUUAGUUGCUUGGUUUUUGCUAGUGAUGCUGCUGAAAGUAAUGUUUCUGUUCUAAACUACUUAAAGUUACCUGGUCAGGUAGUUAUAAUUGUAAACUUCCAAGUUUUAUUCGGAUAUGACACCUGAAGAUUUCAUUGUUCAUUACAUUGAUUUGUCUUUAGAGGCUAAGUUCCUGAAUUGAGCUGAUAAUUUUAUUAUUAUUGGUAUAUGAGCAGGUACAUUAUCUUGUAAGGUACUUCUUAGCACCUUCCUUAUGCUCAAUUCACUACAACAUUUUGCUAUUUAAUGUCUUUUGGACAUUUUUUAGGAAGUGGUUUCCCACAGAGUAAUUCAUUUCCAAUGUAAAUGGAUGGAUCUUGAAACUUGAGAAGCUUAGGUAUGCUCCCCUCCAGUUUAUUGAACGAAAGAUUCAGCCUUUGCAGAGAAGAUAUUGCUGCGAAGCUCUGAGGUAUGGCUCCAGAAAACUUGUUUUUUGAUAGAUCAAGCGUCUCCAAGCGACUCAGUUCUGAUAUUUUCUCGGGAAUGCUUCCUGCCAUGGAGUUUCUUGAUAAAUUCAGGAUUCGGAGAUACAAGAGGCCUAAGAUUUCUCUUGGGAUCUCUCCGCUUAUGUUGUUCCCUGAAAGAUUUAUGCUAUUGGCUAUGGCUUCGUAUUCACGAGCUCUGGUCACAAUGAAGACUAGAUUCUGGAACACCUCAUUGUUUGUACCUCGAGCAAUGGCUGUGAGAUUGCUGAUGCAUUUUGGAAUAGGGCCCGAGAUUUUGUUUCCGGAGAGGUCCAGAAUGCGUAGAUUUGGAACGUUGCAGAGAUCAUCUGGGAUUUGACCAGUGAAGGAGUUACUUUGCAGACGAAGCAUGAAUAGAGAAGACAGCUUUCCUACCCAUGAAGGAAGCUUCCCGGUCAGCUUGUUUCCUCCGAGAUCUAUGUUCGUAAGGCCAGAACAAUUCCGAAGACUCUCUGGGAUUUUACCUUCCAACGAAUUUUGGUUCAGAAGCAAGACGCUGAGAGAAGGUAACAUACCAAGAGACUCUGGUAUUUCGCCUGAUAAGUUAUUCUCAGACACGUCAAUUCCCCAAAGCAUGAACUGACGGUGCCAACAUUUUGGAAAACUACCAGAGAAAUGGUUCUUCCUCAGUGACAGAAUUUGCAGUCCGGAGACUUCACAUAGAGACGAUGGGAUGUUGCCUGUGAAGCUGUUGCUAAAGAGGUAGAUCUUCUCCAUUCUUGGCAUCAAGACGUCAAUGUUUUGUGGAAGAGAACCCGAGAAGUUGUUCUCGUAAAGACGCAGCUCUGUUGCGUUUGUAGACCAGAGAGGAAAAGUGCCUUCAAAGUUGUUGGAGCUCAAAUCAAUGGUGUUUAACUUUGGGAACGCAAGCUUUUGAGGUAAUCUACCUUUGAUUCUGUUGUUUGCUAGAAUUAGGUAAGUAACUUUAGAAGAGAUUCCAGAGAACCAGCUAUCCGGUAUUGUAUCUUCAAUACCAGUGUUUCUGAGUGUGACAAAGUUGAGCUUGGUUUGUACUUGGAGCCACAUUGGAAACAGACCGAUCCGACAGUUCUCGAUUUGGAUCAACUCCAGUCUGAAAGGAGGAAUCCAAGUAGAUGGUAACUUGAAGACAAGAGAUCUGUAUGGUUCAGUUGUUAGACGGAUGCUUUUCAAGCUUCUGAGAUUCACGAAAUGUGACUUUUGCAGAACGCCUCCCCAUGUAUUCGCCAUCAAGUUCAGAUCCACAAGCUCUGCAAGCUGCCCCAAGCUUUCCGCAAUUGUCCCGUUCAUGGCAUUGUUAGAAAGAUCAAGUUUCUUCAGUGACGCCAUGUUUCCUAUCGAGGAAGGGACCGAACCCGUGAAGGAAUUCGAUGAAAGAUCCAGAGUCUGCAGAUUCCUCAACGAUCCAAGUGACUCGGGCAAUGUCCCAGCUAACUUGUUGGAACUGAGAUCGAGAAAGACCAAGCUGUUUCCUUUGUUUCUGGAGAAGGCGUCUAGAAACCCAUGGAUUUGACCGUUGAGUUCGUUUGCAGAAAGGUCAAGAAACUUCAGUUGAGGAAGGUCUCCAAGAACCGAUGGAAUCUCGCCUUGUAGUGCCAGAUUAUUCGACAGAUCAAGUGUCUCUAGAAGCUUCAAGUUCUUGAACCCCGUAGGAAUCGAACCCUGGAGAAAAUCCCAUCUGAGGAAUAGCUUUCUGAGGUUGGUAAGACCAAAUAGCCAGUUAGGUAUCGGCGAAUUGAGAGAGUUUUCAGACAAAUCAAGAACUUCAAGGAGCUUCAGAUCCGCAGACGAAGACAAGGUGGGAGGUAAGUUCUUGAGCUCACUAUUGAACAAAUGCAACUCCUUUAGCGCCGAGAUUCUGCUGAAAUCCUGUAACCAGGUUUCACCCGCACCACUUAGAUUUACAUACCCCAUGUUGAGAUACUUCAGGGAAGAAGACAGACUUGAAAGCCACCGGAGAUUGCUUGCGCGCAAUGAUAAUGUACCAGAGUCACCAAACGACUCUGCAUACAGAUCAAGAGACUCCAGCUUCGACAAAUUUCCAAGACUCGUUGGGAUUUCGCCGGAAAACGAUGAGGAAGAAAGAUUCAGAUAGCUCAAGAACUUGAGUUGAGUCAAAGACGGAUGUAUCUUCCCUCGCAAGGAACCUCUUUUAUACUCAUCAGAGCGAACAUCUUGACUCGGGUUUCUGAGAUCAAUCUUGACAACGUGGCUGGUCCGAGCAUCGCAAAGAACACCGGGCCAGUUGCAGCAGUCAGGUCCGGACCAAGAAAAGAGCCUACUCGAAAGAUCAGUUAGUGCUGCUCUGAAGGUGAGAAGAGCUUGCCGCUCGGUGGAUAUGCAUUUCGGACUAGCUGCAGAUCCGUAAUUAAGAUUUUUGAGAAGUAAAAUGAGAAUCAGAAAAGAGAUGAAGAAGCUAGGCCUUAGCUUGAGGUCCAUACUUGAAGCUAUGUUUGUGUUGUUUCUUUUCUCAGACGUUUAGAUAUAUAUAUGUUCAAACGCGGACAUAUUAGACCAGCAUUGUAUGUAUAUACAUAUACAAAUUGAAUAUAUGUAUACAAAUAUACGUGUAUAUCUUUAACAAAUACGACACGGUUUAUAUCAAUGUAUAAAAUACG